rnacentral:rRNA from 1 species
GACGAACGCUGGCGGCGUGCCUAAUACAUGCAAGUUGAGCGCUGAAGGUUGGUACUUGUCCCAACUGGCUGAGCAGCAAACGGGUGAGUAACGCGUGGGGAAUCUGCCUUUGAGCGGGGGACAACAUUUGGAAACGAAUGCUAAUACCGCAUAAAAACUUUAAACACAAGUUUUAAGUUUGAAAGAUGCAAUUGCAUCACUCAAAGAUGAUCCCGCGUUGUAUUAGCUAGUUGGUGAGGUAAAGGCUCACCAAGGCGAUGAUACAUAGCCGACCUGAGAGGGUGAUCGGCCACAUUGGGACUGAGACACGGCCCAAACUCCUACGGGAGGCAGCAGUAGGGAAUCUUCGGCAAUGGACGAAAGUCUGACCGAGCAACGCCGCGGGAGUGAAGAAGGUUUUCGGAUCGUAAAACUCUGUUGGUAGAGAAGAACGUUGGUGAGAGUGGAAAGCUCAUCAAGUGACGGUAACUACCCAGAAAGGGACGGCUAACUACGUG